UUUACACUUCUAUUUCCACACUAACUGACAUAAACUCUAAAUUUAGAAGUAUAUAAAUACACAUUAUUUUCCUUAAAAUGGAAUAGUCCAGUUUGUCAGAACAUAACCUCACUUGAAACUUUUAUCAUUUACAGACCCCACACCAUCUAGUAAUAAUCGCACACAAAAGAUGAGCUGCCAACACACUGUACAAGGGUGCACAAAAUUUGUUCAAAAUUGGAAUGUGCAGUUCAAAUUUAUACCACCAUGCACACACAUGAUAGCAGCACUGUGGCAUUUCCUCGUGGAUUCCAAUGAAUUCUGUGGGCCAGACGCUGAGGUACACUGAAGAUGUGCUGCCUGUGAGUAAAAAACAGUUCGAAGUGUCUGUAAACAAUCAUCUGCAGAAACAUUUUCUCGAACUGGGCCUACACCAGCAACCUUCGUCACCCCCUGGUUCAUGUGGUGUAUUGUAUUUGGACAACGAUAAGAAGAAGAAUUCCGUCAAAUGGAUCGGGUGACAGUGAUAGAUGCGAGGACUCAGAAGACAGUGAAUAACUACAGCACGUCCACAAAAGUGGUGGCAGCGUCGAUUUUGAAAUUGCGCUAAACUAGACAACAAUUCGGGGUUACAGGUCGGUCUCUUUU